UUGGUGGCGCAUGAUUUCGAGAACUCAAAAAUUCACUCUCAAUUUAUUUUUAAUGCAAUCUGCCAGAAAUUCAAGCCCCUUUGAAUCAACUAAUUCAUUCAACAUUGUUAGGUUAUGGCAAGAACAAAAGGGAGCAAGAAUGUUGUGAAGCCUGCGGAUGGAAGAAAGUCGGAUAAGCAAAGGUUUUUUAAAGUGGAGGGCGGCUGUUGUCGCACGUCCUGGUGGAGGGUGGCGCGGUGGUUCUGAAUCGCGUAGGGGCGCGGGGUGGCGUAGGGACGGCGUGGCAGUUGCAGGUGCGGACGGCGGGAGACUGACGUGAGUUGUGGUGGUGGCGGUGCUGCUGCUCGGCGUCUGGAUCCGACGCUAUGUGCAAGAGAGACGAACAGAGGUGGCGCAUGGAUGAACGGAGACGGGAUCUGGAGUGAGGAGGCGUGGCAGAUAUGCGCAAGGGGGCGCUAACAGCGUCCGGUUGAACUGAAGUGGUGGGCGGAGCGUGGCAUCGCUACUAGAAGCAACUUGGAGACCAGGCCGCGCUCUGCAUGGCGUUCAAUUAGGGCCGAAGAUUUAUUUGCAAUUUCAGCAUAUUAUUAUAUUAUGCAUACAGUUUCACUAAAUAAUUCACAUGUUUAUACUAACUUCAUGUUGUAAUGGAUGAGUAUGAAUUUAAUGUUGAAACUGUACGAAUAAUUCAUACAUUGUUAAUGUAAAAUUCGUACUGUGUUGCAUAUUAGUU